rnacentral:rRNA from 1 species
UACGUAGGGUGCAAGCGUUGUCCGGAAUUAUUGGGCGUAAAGAGCUCGUAGGCGGUCUGUCGCGUCGGCUGUGAAAACCUGGGGCUCAACUCCGGGCCUGCAGCCGAUACGGGCAGACUAGAAUUCGGUAGGGGAGACUGGAAUUCCUGGUGUAGCGGUGAAAUGCGCAGAUAUCAGGAGGAACACCGGUGGCGAAGGCGGGUCUCUGGGCCGAUAUUGACGCUGAGGAGCGAAAGCGUGGGUAGCAAACAGG